rnacentral:rRNA from 1 species
CCUACGGGUGGCAGCAGUGGGGAAUUUUGGACAAUGGGCGCAAGCCUGAUCCAGCCAUUCCGCGUGCAGGAUGAAGGCCCUCGGGUUGUAAACUGCUUUUGGGAACAGUUCGGUACCGUCAGAAUAAGCACCGGCUAACUACGUGCCAGCAGCCGCGGUAAUACGUAGGGUGCAAGCGUUAAUCGGAAUUACUGGGCGUAAAGCGUGCGCAGGCGGUGAUGUAAGACAGGUGUGAAAUCCCCGGGCUUAACCUGGGAACUGCAUUUGUGACUGCAUCGCUGGAGUGCGGCAGAGGGGGAUGGAAUUCCGCGUGUAGCAGUGAAAUGCGUAGAUAUGCGGAGGAACACCGAUGGCGAAGGCAAUCCCCUGGGCCUGACUGACGCUCAUGCACGAAAGCGUGGGGAGCAAACAGGAUUAGAUACCCUUGUAGUC